rnacentral:miRNA from 1 species
UUGUGUGGUUGUUGUUUUCCU